CACCGAUAUGGUGGAAAUUAAUCGCCCCCCCCCCCCCCCCCCAAAAAAAAAAAUACUAUUAGGCCACAUAAAAUAAAUUCCUUGAUUCUCAUCACUACACUUUGAAAAUGUCGAAGAGGCGGGAGGUUUAUAUUUUAUAUUUAUUUAUUAUAUAAAGUAUAGUGCUUUAUAGAGAUUUCGAGCACUGAUAAAACUGAUAAUCUCGCAUGUGAGAACUGAGAUUAUUUAUGAUAAUCUCACAUGUGAAAAUUAUCGCUUUUCAAAUAUCGCUUUUCUGUACAAAUUAUCGCUUUUCAAAGACUGUCCUUUAUAUAAUAAACAGAAAAAUACAUGGGUGCUUGGAAAUACCAGAUUUAUUUCUCGUGUUGAACAUGAUAUCUCACUCGUUCGGUUCGCUCACACGUGAGAUAUCAUGUUCAACACUCGAAAUAAAUAUGGUAUUUCCGCGCACCAUGUAUUAUUCUCUAUAUAAUUUAUAUAUCAAUAAGCUUCAAUAAAUAAAAAAUAAUUCCUAACAUUUAAUAUUUUUGCGAUUUCCAAAGUGAAGUGUCACAAACCGAAAUAAACAUAUUUCUCCACAAACAUUGACUGAACCCCUGAACUGAAUGCGAAGUUCCUUUAAAAUGCAAUGAAAUUUCUUUCAAGGUUCUGUUUGUUUCAAAUUGGCAGUUUACUAUAAAAUGGCACUAAAAACCCAAUAUAAAAUAUAAAAAACUUAACUGUCUUGAAAUAUUUUGUCGGGCGGUUCAUUUAUAUUGUAUAACAAAAUAUAAAAAAUUUUCACACGGCUCUGAAAAUACAGUUGGGCGGUGAUGAGAAUCAAGGAAUUUAUUUUACACUCUCAAAAUUUUCAG